AUUCUCUAAGCCUUUUUCUUAAAAGUGACGACUAACGAGUUGUAUUUCCACUGAACACUGAUUUUGUUUCGUCAGUUAUGUGGUUGUCUAUAUUCUGUAAUGAGGCGAGUAAAGUGAAACCGCUAAUAAAUGUAUUUAAACUGUAUAUGGGCAACCGGUUAUCUUUGAUCCUACGAUGGAGGUUUCGUGGUUAGUGAAACUGUAAUGGAAGUGACAUUUGUAUGUUGGGGCAACAAAGCAUUACGUUGAUGCUGGCCUCCUGUACGCAUUUGACAAUGCGUACUGCUGUAUGACGUGCAUAGUCAAACUACCAGCUUUCAAACGUUAACUAAUGGCUAUUGGUGUUAAGUUUUAGUAUAAGUUUCGUAUAUAUGCCAGAUUAGUCCACGGAAGAAUUUCCACGCUAGUAAGUGACUCCAGAGAAUACCGGCUGCUAUGCUAGUUAACAAUGAAGUGGACUACAUCGUUUAGUUAUUGAUUUACGGAAAUGUAACAGCCUGGUGUUGUAAUCUACAGAUUUGUUGUGUCAGUUUCUCAAGAGUAGCUUGGGUGGUUUUGAAUCCGGAUUCUUCGUAACUACUAUAUGGAAGUUUAAGCUAUGAAUGUCAACUCUGUUCCAAGAAAAUUCAGAUUAAG